GGGGAAUCUUCCGCAAUGGGCGCAAGCCUGACGGAGCAACGCCGCGUGAGUGAAGAAGGGUUUCGACUCGUAAAGCUCUGUUGUCGGGGACGAAUGUGGAGGUUGUGAAUAACAGCUUCCAAUGACGGUACCUGACGAGGAAGCCACGGCUAACUACGUGCCAGCAGCCGCGGUAAUACGUAGGUGGCGAGCGUUGUCCGGAAUUAUUGGGCGUAAAGGGAGCGCAGGCGGGAGGUCAAGUCUAUCUUAAAAGUGCGGGGCUCAACCCCGUGAGGGGAUGGAAACUGGUCUUCUUGAGUGCAGGAGAGGAAAGCGGAAUUCCUAGUGUAGCGGUGAAAUGCGUAGAUAUUAGGAGGAACACCAGUGGCGAAGGCGGCUUUCUGGACUGUAACUGACGCUGAGGCUCGAAAGCGUGGGGAGCGAAC
rnacentral:rRNA from 1 species